rnacentral:rRNA from 1 species
UGGGGAAUAUUGGACAAUGGGCGCAAGCCUGAUCCAGCCAUACCGCGUGGGUGAAGAAGGCCUUCGGGUUGUAAAGCCCUUUUGUUGGGAAAGAAAAGCAGUCGGUUAAUACCCGAUUGUUCUGACGGUACCCAAAGAAUAAGCACCGGCUAACUUCGUGCCAGAGCCGCGGUAAUACGAAGGGUGCGAGCGUUACUCGGAAUUACUGGGCGUAAAGCGUGCGUAGGUGGUUGUUUAAGUCUGUCGUGAAAAGCCCUGGGCUCAACCUGGGAAUUGCGAUGGAAACUGGGCGACUAGAGUGUGGCAGAGGGUAGUGGAAUUCCUGGUGUAGCAGUGAAAUGCGUAGAGAUCAGGAGGAACAUCCGUGGCGAAGGCGACUGCCUGGGCCAACACUGACACUGAGGCACGAAAAGCGUGGGGAGCAAACAGGAUUAGAUACCCUGUAGUCCACGCCCUAAACGAUGCGAAACUGGAUGUUGGGUGCAAUUUGGCACGCAGUAUCGAAGCUAACGCGUUAAGUUCGCCGCCU